rnacentral:rRNA from 1 species
AGAGUUUGAUCAUGGCUCAGAAUGAACGCUGGCGGCGUGCUUAACACAUGCAAGUCGAACGAGAAAGGGACUGCUUGCAGUCCCAAGUAGAGUGGCGCACGGGUGAGUAACACGUAGAUAAUCUACCUUCGAAUUUGGGAUAACCGCCUGAAAGGGCGGCUAAUACCGGAUAAAGUUUAUUGACACAAGUUGAUAGAUGAAAGGCAGCCGAUUCAUGAAAGCUGUUGUUUGGAGAUGAGUUUGCGGACCAUUAGCUGGUUGGUGGGGUAAAGGCCUACCAAGGCGGUGAUGGUUAGCUGGUCUGAGAGGAUGAUCAGUCACACUGGAACUGGAACACGGUCCAGACUCCUACGGGAGGCAGCAGUGAGGGAUUUUGCGCAAUGGGGUAACCCCUGACGCAGCAACGCCGCGUGAGUGAAGAAGGCCUUUGGGUCGUAAAGCUCUGUCAACUGGGAAGAAGUUACUGUAUAUAAACAGUGUAUAGCAUUGACGGUACCAGUGGAGGAAGCAUCGGCUAACUCCGUGCCAGCAGCCGCGGUAACACGGGGGAUGCAAGCGUUAUUCGGAAUUAUUGGGCGUAAAGUGCGCGUAGGCGGUAUUGUCGGUCAGAUGUGAAAGCCCGGGGCUCAACCCCGGACGUGCAUUUGAAACAGCGAUACUUGAGUACGGGAGAGGAAAGCGGAAUUCCUGGUGUAGAGGUGAAAUUCGUAGAUAUCAGAGGAACACCGAUGGCGAAGGCAGCUUUCUGGACCGAUACUGACGCUGAGGCGCGAAGGCGUGGGUAGCGAACAGGAUUAGAUACCCUGGUAGUCCACGCAGUAAACGCUGGGCACUAGACGUUCCUAUUUUAUAUGGGAGUGUCGUAGUUAACGCGCUAAGUGCCCCGCCUGGGGAUUACAGUCGCAAGGCUGAAACUCAAAGGAAUUGACGGGGGCCCGCACAAGCGGUGGAGCAUGUGGUUUAAUUCGACGCAACGCGAAAAACCUUACCUGGGCUUGAACUGCUAGUAGUAGUGAACCGAAAGGGGAACGAACCUGCUUGCAGGAAGCUAGCAGAGGUGCUGCAUGGCUGUCGUCAGCUCGUGUCGUGAGAUGUUGGGUUAAGUCCCGCAACGAGCGCAACCCCUGCUUUUAGUUGCCAGCGAAUAAUGUCGGGUACUCUAAGGGGACUGCCCCGGAAAACGGGGAGGAAGGUGGGGAUGACGUCAAGUCAGCAUGGCCUUUAUGUUCAGGGCGACACACGUGCUACAAUGGGCGGUACAGAGGGUUGCAAGACCGCGAGGUGGAGCUAAUCCCUAAAACCGUUCUCAGUUCAGAUCGCAGGCUGCAAUUCGCCUGCGUGAAGUUGGAAUCGCUAGUAAUCGCGGAUCAGCAUUGCCGCGGUGAAUACGUUCCUGGGCCUUGUACACACCGCCCGUCACAUCACGAAAGUUGGUCAUACUCAAAGUCGCUGGGCUAUCCUUCGGGAAGCAGGUGCCUAAAGUGUGGUCGAUGAUUGGGGUGAAGUCGUAACAAGGUAA